AUUAUUAUUGAUGUAAUAACAAAUAAUAUCAGAAUUCUAAUCUUAUAAACAUUAUUUAAACAAACUUUGUAACCUUAUCAACAUUUUAGUAUGUGGGCCAUUUCUUCUUCCUCGUAGGACUGAAUAUAUAAAUGAUUCCCUUUAAUAGUUUAAUGCCAACUUGGCAUCCUGUCAGCGCAUGUGAAUGAAUCACAGGUGGGGAACAUCAGUCCCGUCACUGCUGGACCAUGGGCAGGACAGUCCAGUUAAUACAGGACCAUGGGCAGGACAGUCGAGGCUUGUUUAAUGUGCGCUGUAGCCAUGGCUCUAACGUUCGCUCACCCGAAUACCGUGGAAACUCCAAAGAAAGCAUCCCUGGUGCGUUUGCGUCUGCAUGUCCUCCACAGGCUGCAUCCUUCUCUCCAGACAACCAUCGUGGACUCUUGGUGCUGUAUUCUCCUCUUUCAUUUGAGGCUGCCCCUUUCACAUCACAUCUUCGUACAUUUUUGUUUACUUUUGUCAGAACAGUGUGUUAUUUUUUUAAAUUUGUAGCUCAGUACGGAGGAAGAAAGAUAAUGUGAAUAUAUUGUUUUUAACAAUGAAGUGUACUGAUACGCACGCACUUUGAGAUGCUGAACACAACGGAGCGAGCUGUCUGAACCGACCAACACCUGCACCUCGGCUCCGACCUGUCGGUCCAGUGCACUGCGACCCAAACUCCUGACAUCCUGCCGAUGGGCCUUUCUAACGCAACCCACCCAACUUUGUUUUUUUUUGUUUGUUUGUUUUUUUUAAUGGAUACUGUCAGACUGCGAUGGUUCUUGUAUCUAAAGCCUUGUCUUGUUAUUUUCGUGCAUCUGAGCCAGAGUCUUACAUGGGACUUCCCUGAUCAUCUGUACAGCUAUAAGCCUUUACACAUCUGCUGAAACGGAUACAUCCAGCCCCUGUCCGACCCCACAGAUUAAGACAAAUCCCCGACAGGUGCAUGAAACUCAUGAGAACCUUACAGGCCACGCCUGCCCUUGUGCAAAGAGAACUGCUAAACGUUUGUGAAAUUUCUUGUGAAUUUUGCAUGCACGUCCUGAUUUUGAAAACAACCCCCAGUGUCAGCACUUAUAGCGACCGUUCGUGUGCAGCUAGAGAUGCAGCUAUGCCCCAACACACCUGGAUGGUCUUUUAUAAAGCAAGGCUCCUCUGCAAGAUUAAUCCCUCAAGCCCAAAGUUAGCGCUGUCCAGUGGGUAUCUCUCUUACCCCUACUCCUACUGGGCAAUCCUGACUUUUGGCUUAUCUGGCUGAGUGAUGAUUCGUGUUUUGUGAAACCAUCCCGUUAUCUAAAAUUCUCAAACAAACCAGCCUUUUGGCCACUGGAGUGGAGGCCAAAUUGAUGUAACCUUUUUGUGUACUGCUGGCUUAAGUGUUUUGUGUGAACAUGGAUCAGCCGGGUUAGAUUGGGUUGUGGCUGCAUUUAAGUGGAUCACUCUUCCCCAGUGUGCUGCACCUUUGCAAUAUCCUGCUCAUGAGAAAAAUGGUCAAAGACGAUAAGCACAAGAAGUAAAUACGAAAAGCUAAAAUGAAAUUAAUAAUGGGUCACUACAAUCUACAAAAGAAUUAAAAAGCACUUGGACUUA